rnacentral:lncRNA from 1 species
GCUGGUCGUGGGUAGGUCCAGCAGCGAUAGUUCUCUACUUGACAUGCUGGUGUUGUGGCUCUAAAGAACUGCCUAGGUAUGGGAUCCAACUUUGUGUCACAGAGGAAAUGGAUUCCAGCUUCCUGGCUUGACACUGAGUGCUGGAUCCUGAGCCCAGAAGAAAUCCAGAGUUGAGUUAGAAGUCUAGCUGGUAGCUGGUCAUCUAUACUGCACUCGGAUGAGGGCAAAAGGCAGCAGUAGAGACACUCAGUGCCCCAUUCCCAGAUGAGGAGGGCUUCUCUCAGCUACCCACGCGGCCUUUCCUCACUGUCUCUCGGCCUGGCCGCACAAACCUAUUGGAGGCUACGCAUCUGAGAACAGAUGUUGACGGAAGUUGACCUUCAACCAAAACCUGUGCAUUCAGAAAGUACCGACCACAGCUUCCUCCCCCAGAUGACUGUAGCCUGAAACUGCUCCUUCACAGAGACCACCUAUGGAGAUAAGCUGAGCCAUCUCUUCAUCUGUGCCAUAUCUCAUAAACACAUUGAGCU